rnacentral:rRNA from 1 species
UUAAUAGGGCGAUUAGUUUUAUGAAUUAGACCCGAAAACGAAUGAGCUUACCAUGAGCAGGUUGAAUGCAAGGUAACACUUGCUGGAGGACCGAACCAGUUGACGUUGAAAAGUCUUUGGAUGACUUGUGGUAAGGGGUGAAAGGCCAACCAAAUUCGUAGAUAGCUGGUUUUCCGCGAAAACUAUUUAGGUAGUGCGUUAAGUAAAUAUAUGUUUAGAGGUAGAGCACUAAAUGGGCUAGGGGGAAGAGAUUCUUACCAAACCUAAUAAAACUCCGAAUGCUAAAUGUAGUUCCUUAACAGACAGACUAUGGGUGCUAAGGUCCAUGGUCGAGAGGGAAAGAGCCCAGACCACCAGAUAAGGUCCCAAAAUUGUGAUUAAGUGUGAAAGGAUGUGGAAAUUCCUUAACAGCCGGGAGGUUGGCUUAGAAGCAGCCAUCCUUUAAAGAUAGCGUAACAGCUCACCGGUCUAAUAGAGUUUCUGCGCCGAAGAUGUAACGGGGCUAAAAUCACAUACCGAAUCUGUGGGUUUAUAAAGUUUUUAACUUUAUAAGCGGUAGCGGAACGUUCUGUAAGCCUGUAAAGGGAUACCCGCGAGGGAUCCUGGAGGUAUCAGAAGUGCGAAUGCUGACAUGAGUAACGAUAAAAGAAGUGAAAAACUUCUUCGCCGAAAAUCCAAGGGUUUCUGCGCAAGGUUAAUCCGCGCAGAGUUAGUCGGCCCCUAAGGCGAGGGCGAAAGCCGUAGUCGAUGGAAAUAAGGUUAAUAUUCCUUAACCAGAUGGAAGUGACGGAUUUUGUAAGUUGUGUGUUCUUAAUGGAUUGAACAUGCUGUGAAAAAGUCCCAGGAAAUAGCUCCAUCAUUAGACCGUACCCUAAACCGACACAGGUGGAUUAAUAGAGUAUAUUUAGGCGCUUGAGAGAAUGAUGUUGAAGGAACUCGGCAAAAUGCUUCUGUAACUUCGGAAUAAAGAGACCAUUUAGUGGGCACACCAUUAAAAGGUGGCACAAGCCAGGGAGAAGCGACUGUUUAUCAAAAACACAGGGCUCUGCUAACACGUAAGUGGAUGUAUAGGGUCUGACGCCUGCCCGGUGCUGGAAGGUUAAUGCGAUGGGUGCAAGCUCAUUUCUGAAGCCCCAGUAAACGGCGGCCGUAACUAUAACGGUCCUAAGGUAGCGAAAUUCCUUGUCGGGUAAGUUCCGACCUGCAUGAAUGGCGUAACGAUUUCUCCGCUGUCUCCAACAUCAACUCAGUGAAAUUGAAUUCUCCGUGAAGAUGCGGAGUUCGCGUAGUUAGACGGAAAGACCCCGUGCACCUUUACUGCAACUUUACAUUGGUGUUAGGAAAAACAUAUUUAGCAUAGGAGGGAGACAUUGAAGCAAGAGCGUCAGCUU